ACUGAGGAAUGAUGACAAUAAAAGGCCGAAUUGCAGUGUGUCCACCAGCAGUUUGCUCUCUUUGUGGGGUGCACGAUGACAAAACCUCCUGAAGCGAACCACUGGUCUGACCUCAGU